CCCUACGGGACGCAGCAGUAGGGAAUCUUCGGCAAUGGGGGCAACCCUGACCGAGCAACGCCGCGUGAGUGAAGAAGGUUCUCGGAUCGUAAAGCUCUGUUGUAAGAGAAGAACGUGUGUGAGAGUGGAAAGUUCACACAGUGACGGUAACUUACCAGAAAGGGACGGCUAACUACGUGCCAGCAGCCGCGGUAAUACGUAGGUAGCGAGCGUUGUCCGGAAUUACUGGGUGUAA
rnacentral:rRNA from 1 species